rnacentral:rRNA from 1 species
AUUGAACGCUGGCGGCAGGCCUAACACAUGCACGUCGAGCGAGCGGCGGACGGGUGAGUACUGUCUGGGGAUCUGCCCGCUAGAGGGGGAUAACUACUGUAAACGGUGUCUAAUCCCGCAUACUCUCGGCUUAACCCCUAUGGGAUUAGCUAGUAGGUGGGGUAAAGGCUCACCUAGGCGACGAUCUCUAGCUGGUCUGAGAGGAUGAGCAGACACAGUGGGACGGAGACACGGCCCAGACUCCUACGGGAGGAAGCAGUGGGGAAUAUUGCACAAUGGGCGCAAGCCUGAUGCAGCCAUGCCGCGUGUAUGAAGAAGGCCUUAGGGUUGUAAAGUACUUGCAGCGGGGAGGCGUUACCCGCAGAAGAAGCACCGGCUAACUCCGUGCCAGCAGCAGCGGUAAUUC